rnacentral:lncRNA from 1 species
GGCCCCUGUGGCAUCUCACACACUGACUGCAGUCCUGGCGGGACAGCCUCAGAGCACAGUGCCAUCUACAGCACACCCCAAACAUGCCAGCUAGACCCACUCAAGCCUCCUGCUGCCAGGUCACAGGUACACGUGGGGCAGAGACCCAACACCCACUGUGACGCAGGACUUCGGAUUGGGGAAAACAGCUACUAAUGAUAUGUGGGGGAACCUGGGAAGAUCUGACUGCCAAGGGCUUCCGGGCAACACCAGGGGUUCUCAUUAUGCUUCUUAGAUGCUCUCCAUCGUGGGCUGGAGUAGAGAACGUUCUUUCCUCUUUCCUGAGGGGAAAAGGACACUCAGAGAUGAAGUAUCCUGUAGCUGAAAUUUCCUUCAAAGAGUUUGCAAGCACCUGCUGGAGACACGUGGCAGGGUGGGAGUGUGUGUGCAUGCACACACUCGUGUCCCAGAAGUCUCUAGAUCAGAAACUUCCCAAGACUAGCAGUGUGGCUGUCCUCAAGGAGCUAGUUCCCUCAGGGACAGGGAGGUCUCUCUUCCCAAGGCCAUGAGUAAGGCCUGAUCUAAACCUGAGGGCGACCUUACCCUACUCAUAGGCUGUAUGACAUAAUUUUUUUUUUUAAGAGUAGGAAAAGUUUAUUGGGAAAAAAAGCUUCUGCCUAAGAGAGACAGAAGGGGGACCGGAAAGUGGGUUGCCUGUGCAUGACAUAAUUAAUGUGUUCCAGGGGCAGCAGCUGCAUCAAGUGCCUCAAAGCCAGCAACACCACAGAGCUGCAGUGCCCAAGCAGAGAAAAACCACAAUCUGCGCCUGGGCCAAACUGAGGUGGCAACCAAAGCUGACAGUCAACAACAGCGGGUAAGAGUUAAACUGCACAAACCCAAAACCAGAGCUAGAGCCAGAGAUGUGGUCAGAAACCCUGAUAAGGCUACCUAACAAAGCACAUUCCACAGUAAGCAAACAGACCAUGGUAAGGUCAGCUGGUCCCUGUGCUGUCCAUGACAUGCUCUGGGUCACAAACCAGGGCAUGGAUUGUUCGGCCUGCUUUCUCUGUGGGUCUCCUGAACUUGACAACAGCACACUCACCGCCUACCCUUCCCUUUAGGGUUUGGGCUGUCCUUCAGGUCAGGCCUCAAAUCACAGCUGUGGCCAAAAGCUACAGAAAAUCUUUAAAUGUCCUUUUGCUCACAGGAUGUGAAGAUGGCUUCUAUGACACAGCAGCCAAGCAGAGCGCUCCUCAAGCACCAUUCGGCCCCCACCCUGCUCUCUGGCAGGCAGGUGCAGCAGUGACCGCAGAAAUAAUUUCUAUCACCACUCACUACUGGACAGAAUUCAUCUGCAUUGCCUUCAGACAAGAAUCACUGUACUUAGCCAUCUGUUUUCUACAAGUUCAAGUCUACCCUUGCUGA